UAAAGUAUAAUCUUUUCUGUAUUUUGCAGUUAAUAUUAUAUAUAUAUAUUCAUUCAAGAAAAGUCAUGCCUUGGGAUCUUCAUUGAAGACUUAGUUGUUAGCUAUCUGUCUAGUUUUGCAUGGGAACUCAAUUCAAGGCAGAAUUAUUUAAUUUAUUUAUUCCAUCGCUGCAACUCCCGUAUGGCCUCGGGAGAGGUGAAGGUCGAGACACAACCCAGGCAACCCGCCUGCUUAUUUACACAAUGCACACUUAACGCGGAACCCAGCCUCACCAAUGUGUCGGAGGAAACACUGUACUUGGACUAGUAACCGGAAGGUUGCAAGUUCAAAUCCCCGAGCUGACAAGGUACAAAUCUGUCGUUCUGCCCCUGACCAGGCAGUUAACCCACUGUUCCUAGGCCGUCAUUGAAAAUAAGAAUUUGUUCUUAACUGACUUGCCUAGUUAAAUAAAGGUAAAAAAAUAAUAGCUGUGCCGCGAUGCUCCCCAUCCAAACUGACAUAGCUUGAGAGGAUCUGCAGAGAAGAAUGGGAGAAACUCCCCAAAUAUAGUUGUGCCAAGCUUGUAGCGUCAUACCCAAGAAGACUCGAGACUGUAAUCACUGCCAAAGGUGCUUCAACAAAGUAAAGGGUCUGAAUACUUACAUAAAUGUGAUAUUUCAAGUUUUUUGCUUUGUCAUUAUGGGUAUUGUUUGUAGAUUGAUGAGGGAAACAAACUAUUCAAUCCAUUUUUGAAUAAGGCUGGCUGUAACCUAAAAAAAUGUGGAAAAAGUCAAGGGGUCUGAAUACUUUCUGAAUACACUGUACGUUAAUGACGUUUAGCAAAGUAUAGAAAUCUAUUCUUGCCAAUAAAUCUGUGGCCAAUCUCUUUUAUGUUCACAGAUAUGGUAGCGUAGCCGGAAAUGUUGCUGGCAACCAAGAGGUUUUAAGUACAAGUCAAGUAGAGCUUGAUGCUGACAGUACAUAAAUGUACAGUACUGUAUCACUAGCAUGUCAAAUUGCAAUCACUUGCUGGCAACUGGUUUGCAGUAUAAAUGCAGUUAAUACAAUUUACAAGUAUUUUGUUCAAUAUGGGUCUUUCUAUAAAUAAUGGGGCCAAUGUGUGACAUUGGGAUAAACAUUUCUACAGUGGCUUGCCAAAGUAUUCACCCGACUGGCAUUUUUCCUAUUUUCUUGCCUUACAACCUGGAAUAAAAAUAGAUUUUUGGAGGGUUUGUAUCAUUUGAUUUACACAACAUGCCUACCACUUUGAAGAUGCUAAAUAUUUUUUUGGGGGGGGUGAAACAAACAAGAAAUAUGACACAAAAAAAUGAACUUGAACAUGCAAAACUAUUCACAACCCCAAAGUCAAUACUUUGUAGAGCCACAUUUUGCAGGAAUUACAGCUACAAGUCUCUUGGGGUAUGUUCUAUAAGCUUGGUAGAUCUAGCCACUGGGAUUUUUGCCCAUUCUUCAAGACAAAACUGCUCCAGCUCCUUCAAGUUGGAUGGGUUCUGCUGGUGUACAGCAAUCUUUAAAAUCUGUUAGGGAUAGGGGGCAGCAUUUUCACUUUGGAUGAAUUGCAUGCCCAUAGUGAACUGCAUCCUACUCUGUCCUAGAUGCUAAUAUAUGCAUAUUAUUAUUACUCUUGGAUAGAAAACAUGCUGAAGUUCUAAAACUGUUUGUAUUAUGUCUCUGAGUAUAACAGGAAGUGGAAAUUCUGGGGCUGGUCGAAUUUCAAGUCAUCGCCUAUUCACAUCCAAACAAGAUAUGGAUAUGUUCGCACUUCCUACGCCUUCCACUAGAUGUCAACAGUCAGUAGAACGUGGAAUGAAGCCUCUAGUGUGAUGUAUGACCGGAUGGGGGGGAUUGAGUCAGUGGUCUGUCAGAAUGCCAGUUCCAGGUUGUGCACAUUACUGUUGAUAUCGCCUGCGUUCCAUGACUCUGUAGACAAAAUGAAUGCUCUGGUUGGAACGUUAUUGGAUAUAUAUGAAAAUAACAUCCUGAAGAUUGAUUCUCUACUUAGUUUGACCAGUUUAUUCGAACUGGAAUAUAACUUUUUGAAAUUUCCGUCCUAGUUCGCCUGAACCAGCGCCAGCUUUUGGACAUGUGAACUAACUGUGCUAGCAAAAGCAGCUAAUUGGACACUAGUAAUGGACAUUACUGAACAAAACAACGAUUUAUUGUGUAACUAGGACUCCUUGCACUGCAUUCUGAUGAAAGAUCAUCAAAGGACAAUGACCCAACACACCUCCAGGCUGUGUAAGGGCUAUUUGACCAAGAAGGAGAGUAAUGGGGUGCUGUAUCAGAUGACCUGGCCUCCACAAUCACCCAACCUUAACCCAAUUGAGAUGGUUUGGGAAAAGUUGUACUGCAGAGUGAAGGAAAAGCAUCCAACAAGUGCUCAGCAUAUGUGAGACCUCUUUCAAUACUGUUGGAAAAGCAUUCAAGGAUUCCAGUUUUGAAGAGUCACAGACCAUCCAGGGGCACAGGCAGAGCUGCAGAAAUAAUUGGACAGGAACACCUUGAAAUGUCUGCCCAAUUGCAAGAAGAGAGGCUGGCUGAGAUGAAGGCUAAAUUGCAAGAGCUGUUCUUUGAAGAAACGGGAGAGGUUCUGGAGCUGGCCAUUUCCUGUCUACCAGGAGUUUUCUUUGACAUGAAGGAGUACUGGAGAGCUACUGUAUCUCAGGGACUAAGGACAACCUCGCUGGUGCACCUGCAAGAAUUGCAGGGAAACUCCUGCACCUUACAACACACAACUACUGCCAUUUCACCACUGCAAAAUUCCAUUUAUUUUUGACCAAGUAUGUUUACAUAACAGGAUAAUGCUUUCCACAGCUACACAGUACUUUAUUCUUUAUUUCGAUCUCAAUUAGAAAAAAAUACUCCAUUUAUUUUUAUUGUGAAUUCUCCUUGGUCUUUGUGAUAUCAGUUCAGUACUUUUUCAUAAUGUUUCCUUUACACUGUGCUUUUGUCAUUUUGAGGAAGGUUACAUAGACCACCUUGUAUUCUUAUUUAUGUCCCUAAUAAAGCUAUUUGACCUGA